rnacentral:rRNA from 1 species
AUGUGCGGCGGCGCGAUCCUCAAGGACCUCAAGGUCCCCGCGCCGGCGCGGAAGGUGACGGCGGCGGUGCUGUGGCCCGAGAAGAACAAGCCCAAGCGGGCCGACGGCGGGGGCUGGCGCCUCGCGGGGCUCGGCCGGCGCGGGGGGCGCGGGCUGGACGACGGCGAGGAGGACUUCCAGGCCGACUUCGAGGAGUUCGAGGCCGACUCCGGGGACUCCGACGUGGAGCUCGGGCGCGCCGGGGUUGCUGGGAAAGACGGCGACGACGAGGUUGUCGAGAUCAAGCCCUUCGCCGCCGUCAAAAGGUCCCUCUCCCAAGAUGACUUAAGCACCAUGACUACUGCUGGUUUUGAUGGUCCUGCACAAAGGUCAGCAAAAAGGAAGAGAAAGAACGAGUUCAGGGGUAUCCGCCAGCGCCCCUGGGGUAAGUGGGCUGCUGAAAUCAGAGAUCCUAGCAAGGGUGUCCGUGUCUGGCUUGGUACUUUCAACAGUGCUGAAGAAGCUGCAAGAGCUUAUGAUGUUGAAGCACGAAGGAUCCGUGGCAAGAAGGCCAAGGUUAACUUUCCAGAGGAACCAACAGUUCCUCAGAAGCGCCGUGCUUGCCCUGCUGCUCCUAAAGUUCCCAAGUCAAGCGUAGCACAGGAACCUACCGUCAUACCAGCAGUCAACAACCUUGCCAACCCAAAUGCUUUCGUCUACCCAUCUGCUGACUUUGCAUCAAAGCAGCCGCUUGUUCAGCCUGACAACAUGCCAUUUGUUCCUGCAAUUAACUCUGCUGCCUCUGUUGAAGCUCCUGUUAUGAAUAUGUACUCUGACCAGGGAAGCAACUCCUUUGGCUGCUCUGACUUGGGCUGGGAGUAUGACACCAAGACUCCAGAUAUAUCAUCCAUUGCUCCCAUUUCCACCAUUGCUGAAGGAACAGAGUCUGCAGUUCUCCAGAGUAAAACCUACAACCCAGCGGUGAUUGCUGAAGGAGCUGAAUCUGCGCCUGUCCAGAGCAACACCUACAACUCAGUGGUGCCUCCUGUUAUGGAGAACAAUGCUGUUGAUUUUGAACCUUGGAUGAGGUUUCUUUUGGAUGAUGGCGUGGAUGAGCCGAUUGAUAGCCUUCUGAAUUUUGAUGUGCCUCAGGAUGUCGUUGGCAACAUGGACCUUUGGAGCUUCGAUGACAUGCCCAUCUGUGGCAAAAUUUUCUGA